rnacentral:rRNA from 1 species
AUUGAACGCUGGCGGCAGGCCUAACACAUGCAAGUCGAGCGAGCGGCGGACGGGUGAGUAAUGUAUGGGGACUGCCCGCUAGCGGGGGAUAACUACUGGAAGCGGUGGCUAAUACCGCAUACUGUCUGAUAACCCCUAUGGGAUUAGCUAGUGGGUAAGGUAAUGGCGUACCUAGGCGACGAUCCCUAGCUGGUCUGAGAGGAUGAUCAGCCACACUGGAACGGAGACACGGCCCAGACUCCUAGGGAGGAAGCAGUGGGGAAUAUUGCAAAAGGGGGGCAAGCCGGAUGCAGCCAGGCGGCGUGUAUGAAGAAGGCCCUAGGGUUGUAAAGUACUUUCAGUCGGGAGGCGUUACCGACAGAAGAAGCACCGGCUAACUCCGUGCCAGCAGCCGCGGUAAUAC